rnacentral:misc_RNA from 1 species
GUGAAUCAUCAAAUCUUUGAACGCAAAUUGCACUCUCCUCGGAGAGUAUGCCUGUGUGAGGAUCAGCCUAUAAAAAACCGACAUGGUUGCUGUUUCGCGGUGGCGGUCGGCGGAAAUUGAGUAAUCUUAAACCUUAUGGUUUUAACCGACUUAAAAUUUUCUUUUGGGUUCCAUGAACGUUGCUAAGAUUUUUUUCUUUACAGGUUUAAGGUAU